AUUGAACGCUGGCGGCAUGCCUUACACAUGCAAGUCGAACGGCAGCGCGGACUUCGGUCUGGCGGCGGGUGGCGAACGGGUGAGUAAUACAUCGGAACGUACCCUGUUGUGGGGGAUAACUAGUCGAAAGAUUAGCUAAUACCGCAUACGACCUGAGGGUGAAAGUGGGGGACCGCAAGGCCUCACGCAGCAGGAGCGGCCGAUGUCUGAUUAGCUAGUUGGUGGGGUAAAGGCCCACCAAGGCGGCGAUCAGUAGCUGGUCUGAGAGGACGAUCAGCCACACUGGGACUGAGACACGGCCCAGACUCCUACGGGAGGCAGCAGUGGGGAAUUUUGGACAAUGGGGGCAACCCUGAUCCAGCAAUGCCGCGUGUGUGAAGAAGGCCUUCGGGUUGUAAAGCACUUUUGUCCGGAAAGAAAUCGCGCUGGUUAAUACCUGGCGUGGAUGACGGUACCGGAAGAAUAAGCACCGGCUAACUACGUGCCAGCCGCCGCCGUAA
rnacentral:rRNA from 1 species